AUGUCGACGACCUUUGGCGUCCCCAUCAACGAUGACACACUGAAACUAAUGUCUAGAUACACUGGCAAGAAGAUAACCCAAGAAGACCGUGCGCGGGAAGCGAUGCGGCUGAUCCAUGCUGAAGACAAGCACUUGAGCGCUCUCAACCACGCGCUCGACCUCAAGAAUUCACAUGGGAUAUUUGGGAUUGGGGUGACAGCCAUGGUCCUCAUCUACAACGCCACCGGCGACACGCUGGUGCUGCAGGUUGUAGAGCAGCAGAAGGACUGGUCUGGCGAGGUGGCCAGGGAGCUAAGCUUCUUUCACCCCACAGUCUCCUUCCAGAACGGCCAGUGGAUCGCCUUCGUCCAUAUGGACUCCACCGAGUCAGAGGCGGCCCGGGUCUUUCGAGGCCGAGAUAUCACAGGCCAGGUUCGUGACUAUAUGGUUGCCUGGUCCGUCUCUUGGAGCAGGAGAACAAACUCAGCAUACACUGAGGUACGUGAGAAAGAACACUUCCCAAAGUUGUGGGAUCACUACAAGGGUUUACUGGAGAAGGCAGGCAAAGUCACCAGGGACCAAACCGAUGAGUAUUGUGCAUCCACUAUUAGUGUCGGUGGGUACACUUCCUCGGAAGUCAUUGCAGUAUUGCAGCACAAGUUUAGCCCUUUGCUAGAGGGUGGAACUAUAAUCCCACCGCCGUUGCCGUCCCCGUGGCCUAGAGUGGGAAACAUCGCCAGCCGGUGGCGCGAGCUCCAUGGCGCGGGGUCGUGGGAAGGGCUCCUGGACCCGCUGGACGCCGACCUCCGGGCCUCCAUCAUCGCCUAUGGCGAGCUAGCGGAGGCGGCCUACGAUGGGUUCAACUCCGACGAGUCGUCGCCGGAAGCCGGCUCGUGCCUGUACAGCCCCGCCGAACUGCUCGCCGCCUCUGGCGUGUCCCACCCAGAGUACUUCACCGUCACCAAGUACGUGUACGCGUCCUGCGGGUUCCUGCCCCUCGUGACAACUGAGCUGGGGGCGUCCGGGGGACUGUCGGCGGCCGUGGUGCCGGUGCCGCCAGUGGCCGCGGCGUUCUUCGUGCUGCCCAAGCCAGAGCUGCGAGAUGGGCCAAUGUGGAGGGAGUGCAAUUGGAUGGGGUUCGUGGCCGUGGCUACGGACGAAGGAGCAGCGGCGCUAGGGAGGCGCGACAUCGUGGUAGCAUGGCGCGGCACCGUGCAGAAACUGGAGUUUCUGAGUGACGGAAUAUUUUCGUUGGGCUGCGCUAAGCCCGUGCUGCAACCCAUUCCUGGCCCCUUGGCGGCCGCCUACAAUAACGCCAAGGUGCAUGAUGGUUUUCUGACCGUGUACUUGACCGGGGACGAAUACUCCCAGCACUACAGGACCUGCGCCAGAGAUCAGGUCCUCGAGGAGGUACGGAGGCUAAUGGAUGUGCACAAGGACGAGGUGACCAGCAUUACCGUCACCGGCCACAGCCUCGGCGCGGCGCUCGCCACCCUCAACGCUGUUGACAUGGUUGCCCAUGGUGUCAAUGUGCCCCCCGCCUCCUCCAAACAGCCGCCGUGCCCCAUGACUGCCUUCCUGUUCGCAUGCCCGCGCGUCGGAAAUGAUAGUUUCAAAUCUGUCUUCGCCUCGUUCGAUCUCCUCCGCGCCAUCCACGUGAAGAACAAAAACGACAUAGUCCCGACACUACCACCGGAAGAUUUUGAGUACGUGGACGUGGCGACGGCGACGCUGCCCAUCAAUACGGACCGGUCAAAGUUCUUGCGUCCUGGCAACGUGCUGACGUACCACAACCUUGAGUGCUAUCUGCACGGCGUUGCCGGGGACCAUGGCAACAAGGAUUUCUGGCUGGAGGUGGAUCGUGACAUCGCGUUGGUGAACAAGAGUGCCGACGCACUGAAAUAUGAGUUUGGGGUGCCAGCAAAUUGGUGGGCCGAUAAGAAGAAGCUCAUGGUUAAGGGCGCUGAUGGCCGCUGGAAGCGCAAGGAUGACCUCAAGGAAGCCUAG
rnacentral:rRNA from 1 species